rnacentral:rRNA from 1 species
UACGUAGGGUGCGAGCGUUGUCCGGAAUUAUUGGGCGUAAAGAGCUUGUAGGUGGCUCGUUGCGUCGGGAGUGAAAACCUGCGGCUUAACCGCAGGCCUGCUUCCGAUACGGGGCGAGCUAGAGUUCGGCAGGGGAGACUGGAAUUCCUGGUGUAGCGGUGGAAUGCGCAGAAUCAGGAGGAACACCGGUGGCGAAGGCGGGUCUCUGGGCCGAUACUGACACUGAGGCGCGACAGCGUGGGGAGCAAACAGG